rnacentral:misc_RNA from 1 species
GAUGAAGAACGCAGCGAAAUGCGAUAAGUAAUGUGAAUUGCAGAGUUUUGUGAAUCAUCGAAUCUUUGAACGCACAUUGCGCCCCUCGGUAUUCCGACGGGCAUGCCUGUCCGAGCGUCGUUUGGAACCCAUCGAGUAACACUUCUCGGUCUUGGGCGCCGUCCGCCCCCUCGGGGGAUCGGACGGGCCCCAAAGCCCUCGGCGGCCCCGCGUGCCCCGCCGGAGCGUCUUCGAAAGCAAUCGCUCCGGCGCGUCGCGCCCCGGGACCAAGCCGGCACCGCGGCCCCCCCAAAGGGGUCGCACCCCCAACACCAAACGUCUGACCUCGGAUCAGGUAGGGCUACCCGCUGAACUUAAGCAUAUCAAUAAGCGGAGGA